rnacentral:rRNA from 1 species
AACGAACGCUGGCGGCAUGCCUAACACAUGCAAGUCGAACGAGACCUUCGGGUCUAGUGGCGCACGGGUGCGUAACGCGUGGGAACCUGCCUUUAGGUUCGGAAUAACUCAGAGAAAUUUGAGCUAAUACCGGAUAAUGUCUUCGGACCAAAGAUUUAUCGCCUUUAGAUGGGCCCGCGUAAGAUUAGCUAGUUGGUGGGGUAAAGGCUACCAAGGCGACGAUCUUUAGCUGGUCUGAGAGGAUGAUCAGCCACACUGGGACUGAGACACGGCCCAGACUCCUACGGAGGCAGCAGUGGGGAGUAUU